rnacentral:rRNA from 1 species
UACGGAGGGGGCUAGCGUUGUUCGGAAUUCCUGGGCGUAAAGCGCGCGUAGGCGAACCUGCACGUCGGGGGUGAAAGCCCGAGGCUCAACCUCGGAACUGCCUUCGAUACUGCGGGUCUCGAGUCCGGGAGAGGUGAGUGGAAUUCCUAGUGUAGAGGUGAAAUUCGUAGAUAUUAGGAAGAACACCAGUGGCGAAGGCGGCUCACUGGCCCGGUACUGACGCUGAGGCGCGAAAGCGUGGGGAGCAAACAGG